UAGGCUACUUUGCAUCGAUGUGGCA
rnacentral:piRNA from 1 species